rnacentral:sRNA from 2 species
CAUAUCUGUUACUGUCUCUACCUCUUUUCCCUCCUAUUUUAAAAGACAAUUAAUUCAUGAGCUUCCAUUAUUUCACCUGAUUGAUUUUGUGUGCAUCUUCACUUGUUUUACCACAGGCUUGUGCUCUUCGCAUCAUUGUCACAUCUCCACUUAUCUCCACUUCACAUGCUCCUUUUACAACAAAAGGGCCACUGACAACAGGGCAAGGAAGGUCAGGUCCUGGCCAUGGAGAAUGAGGGGCGCGAACGCAUUGAUGAUGAGAUGAUGGUAGUUGUAGAAAAACUGAGGAACAUUACUGAACAUUUGCGCAAGCUUCAGCUCCAUAAUGCGGCCAAUACUAUCUCAAAGCACACUCACGAUAUCAUCGAGGAGUUUGGUGAAGUCAUGUCGAAGCUCACAGACUCCGAGAUCGUGAUGCAUCCUGCAGCAAAGCAGGCCAACCGGCUCAAUGGCAACGU